UCUCCGUUGGUGAACCAGCGGAGGGAUCAUUACCGAGUGAGGGUCCUUGUGGCCCGACCUCCAACCCUUUGUGAACACAACUUGUUGCUUCGGGGGCGACCCUGCCGUUUCGACGGCGAGCGCCCCCGGAGGCCUUCAAACACUGCAUCUUUGCGUCGGAGUUUAAGUAAAUUAAACAAAACUUUCAACAACGGAUCUCUUGGUUCUGGCAUCGAUGAAGAACGCAGC
rnacentral:misc_RNA from 1 species